AUGGAGAUGAAGAUGGCCGUCGGCGCGGCCAACUGGCUCGUCGGCAAGGUGCUCACCAAGCUGUUCGACCCGCUGGUGUCCGCCUACAUGGACAGCUCCGACCUCGGCAGCAACUUCCUGACCGCCAAGAACCAGCUUCAGUACACACAGGGGCUGCUGUCUGCAUCCGUGGGCAGGGACGUGGGCGACGAUCCUGGCCUGCGCGGACUGCUGGGGACGUUGAGCAAGAAGGCCGACGAGGCCGAGGACGUACUCGAUGAGCUCCACUACUUCAUGAUCCAGGACGAGGUCGAUGGCACCAAGGAGGCUGCUGCGGAGAUGGGCGGCAGCAUCAAGGGCCAUUCGGUCCAUGGACGCCAUGUUGCUCGCUACACCCUCGGCAACUGCCUUCCGUGCUUUUCAUCUCCGCGCACUCUAGGUGAUGAUCCUCCUCCUGCAGUUGUUGCUGCUGCUGCUGCUACCAGUAGUGAAGACAUGCCUGGUGCUAGUAAUGAUGAUGGCGAUGUUGAUAUUAAGUUGUCAUUCAACAGAGUAGCCAUGUCCAAGAAAAUCAAGUCUGUCAUAGAGGAGAUGAACUCCAUAUGCCUGCUUGUCUCUGACCUGCUCAAAGUCAAAACUGCAGACCACAGUAGCAUUGCAUUAAGCACACAUGCCACCAUUGAAAGGCCUCCAACUGGUUCCAUAGUUCCACAAGAUAGAAAACUGUAUGGAAGGAAUGACAUUUUUGAGCAAACUGUAAAUGCACUUACCGGUGGCACAUACCAUGAUAAAACCCUCUCUGUUCUGCCUUUAGUUGGCCCGGGGGGCAUCGGAAAGACAACCUUCACACAGCACCUGUAUAAUGAUGAAAGGAUCAAGGGGCACUUCCCUGUCAGGGUCUGGGUAUGUGUCUCAACUAGUUUUGAUGUGAUCAGGCUCACCAAGGAGAUACUUGGCUGCAUAUCUGGAACUAAUGCCAACACAUAUGAAACAACAAAUUUAGAUCAACUUCAAAGAGCCAUUGCAGAGAAACUAGACUCCAAGAGGUUCUUAAUUGUGUUGGAUGAUGUGUGGACAUGCAAUAGCGAGCGUGAUUGGGAAAACCUAUUAGCCCCACUCACAAUAGGGGAAACCAAGGGCAGCAUGGUUCUUGUCACUACCCGUUUGCCAUCUGUAGAACAAAUGGUCAAAACAACUGAUCCAGUAAAACUGCAUGGUUUAGAUCCUGAUGACUUCUUUGCAUUGUUCGAAGCAUGUAUAUUUGCUCAUAACAAACCCAGGCUUUAUGAUGAUGACUUAGUUAAUGUUGCAAGAGAUAUUGCAAAGAAACUGAAGGGUUCGCCACUUGCAGCAAAUACAGUUGGCCGGCUGUUGAAGAAAAACAUCUGUUGGCAAUACUGGAUGGGAAUUCUUGAAAAGAAUGAAUGGCACAGUGCAAAAAAUGACGAUGAUAUUUUCCCAUCUCUGCAAAUCAGCUAUAACUACCUUCCUUUCCAUCUGCAGAAAUGCUUUUUUUAUUGUGCCCUCUUCCCAGAAGAUUACAAGUUUUAUGAUUUGGAAAAAAUCACUAACUUCUGGAUCACAAUGGGUAUUAUAGACUCAAAUUGCCAAAAUGACAAGAAUUACUUAGAAGAACUAGUGGACAAUGGUUUCCUCAUAAAGGAUAGUGAUAUGAAUGGUGAAUACUACGUGAUGCAUGAUUUAUUGCAUGAACUAUCUCGGCAUGUUUCAUCACAAGAGUGUGUGAAUAUAAGUAGUUUAAGUUUUAGAGCCAAUGACAUGCCACAAUCUGUUCGGCACUUAUCAAUCACUGUAAGAGAUAAAUAUGAUAAAAGUUUUGGAGAGGAAAUAGGUAAACUCAAGAGUGUAAUAGACAUUGGAAAUCUGCAUAGCUUGAUGAUUUUUGGAUUACAUGAUGUAGAAACAUGUACUAUUCUGAAAGAUGCAUUUGAAGGAAUAAAGAGUCUCCGGGUUCUAUUUAUACCUAGCUUUCCAAAAGAUUUGCCAAAGAGCUUUUCAAAUCUUAUCCACCUCCAAUACCUUAAACUCACACCACCUAGUGAUGAGAGAUAUAAUAAGCAUCCACCUAGAACAUUACCAAGAUUUUACCUUUUGAAAUUCUUGGACCUCUAUGAUUGGCACUAUUAUAUAAUUUUCUUUCCUAAAAGCAUUAGCCUUCUCAUGAGUUUACGCCAUCUUUAUUCUGAGGAAGAACUCCAUUCCAGUAUCCCUGAGGUUGGAAAGAUGAAGUGGUUACAGGAGCUAAGAGAAUUUCAUGUUAAGAAAGAAAGUGUUGGAUAUGAACUGAGCCAGCUGGGGGAAUUGACAGAGCUUGGAGGACAGCUUGCUAUAUGUAAUCUUGAAACCGUGGCAUCCAAAAAAGAAGCUAAUGAUGCUAAAUUGAAGGAUAAAAGAAAUCUGAAAGAAUUGGAAUUAGUUUGGGGUGCAGGGCAAAAGAUUACAGAUGGUGAUAUUCUCGAGGGUCUUCAACCACCCCCUAAUCUUAGAAAGCUUGGCAUUAUAGAUUAUGGUUUUGCCACUGGUCCUAGCUGGUUGUGCAGUGACAUUAGCAUAAAAAGGCUGGAGUCUCUACAUCUGAAUGGUAUAUAUUGGGGCACUCUUCCACCUUUUGAGCAGUUACCACACCUCACCAACCUCCAACUGGAGAAUAUUGCUGGGAUUCGUGUGUUUGGGCCUGGAUUUAUUGGUCUUACAGAGAGAAGUUUUAUGCACCUGAAGACAGUUAUCAUUGGGGAUAUGCCAGAACUUGAGGAAUGGGUCGGGGGACCCAAUAGCCCUUUGUUUUCAAGGCUUGAAAGCAUUGAAUGCUGGUGUUGCCCCCUUCUGUCCUCGUUUUCCUUCUUGCAGUGUUGUACCAACCUUUGCCGACUUCGUAUUGCUGAUUGCCCAGAGUUAUCUCAGUUCCCCUCUCUGCCUCAUACUUCUACACUAACAGACAUUUCUCUGCACAACCGGUUUACCAUAGGUUUGACGUAUGAUGGAAAGUGUUUGUCUGCUUAUAGGUAUGAUGGUGCUUUGGCCUUCCAAAAUAUGGAUAAAGUAGAGUCUAUAGAUAUUGAUGGAUCACCACAUGUCUCAUUGUCAGUGUCAGACCUCCAAAAGAUGAACUCCCUGAGAAAACUACUUGAAUUCGACGGCGCCAGCAUAUUCUCUGCAGAAUGGUUCAAUCCAGUCGUCCUCGAGGAAUUGGCAGCCCAUGACAAGUCUUUGGACGAAAAAAAUACCUCUGUAGCUGCAGGUCUGAUCCCAGAGGUGGCGAUGAGCAAAUAUUUGCACCCAGGUUCAUUCCAACUGGAAGAAAUGCGGGUGGGUAACAUCCUGGCAGUGCUUAUUGCUCCCAUUUGCAGACGCCUUGCCGCUACCCUUCACACAUUAGGGUUCUGCUAUGAUAACGUGACUGAAACCUUCACGGAAGAGCAAGCUCAAGCGCUUAAUCUUCUCACCUCCCUCAAAAGUCUAGAAUUUUUAAGGUGCAACCUGCAGUCUCUCCCUCGGCUAUAUGGCCUUUCUUCUCUCGAGAAAUUUUCGAUCAUGAGAUGUGAUGGAAUCGAAUCACUGCCGUCCAAGGAGGACCUCCCCGCUUCACUGCUGAAACUAAACGUAAGUGGCUGCGGUGAUGAGAUAAAAGAGCAAGCCGAGAAACUUAAAGAAGCAAACCCUUGUUUAUCUGUUUAUGAGGAUACAAUCUUAUACUACUAUCCAUAG
rnacentral:rRNA from 1 species